CCUACGGGAGGCAGCAGUGGGGAAUAUUGCACAAUGGGGGAAACCCUGAUGCAGCAACGCCGCGUGAGUGAUGACGGCCUUCGGGUUGUAAAGCUCUGUCUUCAGGGACGAGAAUGACGGUACCUGAGGAGGAAGCCACGGCUAACUCCGUGCCAGCAGCCGCGGUAAUACGUAGGUGGCGAGCGUUGUCCGGAUUUACUGGGCGGAAAGGGAGCGUAGGUGGCCUUUUAAGUGAGAUGUGAAAUACUCGGGCUCAACUUGAGUGCUGCAUUUCAAACUGGAAGUCUAGAGUGCAGGAGAGGAGACUGGAAUUCCUAGUGUAGCGGUGACAUGCGUAGAGAUUAGGAAGAACACCAGUGGCGAAGGCGAUUCUCUGGACUGUAACUGACGCUGAGGCUCGAAAGCGUGGGGAGCAAACAGGAUUAGAUACCCUUGUAGUC
rnacentral:rRNA from 1 species